rnacentral:rRNA from 1 species
CCCGCUGAACUUAAGCAUAUCAAUAAGCGGAGGAAAAGAAACUAACAAGGAUUCCCCUAGUAACUGCGAGUGAACCGGGAAGAGCUCAAAUUUUGAAUCUGGCGGUCUUUAGGCCGUCCGAGUUGUAAUCUAGAGAAGCGUCUUCCGCGCUGGACCGUGUAUAAGUUUCCUGGAAAGGAACGUCGUAGAGGGUGAAAAUCCCGUCUUUGACACGGACUCCCAGGGCUAUGUGAUGCGCUCUCGACGAGUCGAGUUGUUUGGGAAUGCAGCUCAAAUAGGGUGGUAAAUUCCAUCUAAAGCUAAAUACAGGCGAGAGACCGAUAGCGAACAAGUACCGUGAGGGAAAGACGAAAAGAACUUUGGAAAGAGAGUUAAACAGUACGUGAAAUUGCUGAAAGGGAAACGCUUGAUGUCAGUCGCGUUGGCCGGGGAUCAGCCUUGCUUAAUCGCGAGGCGUACUUCCUGGUCGACGGGUCAGCAUCAGUUUUGACCGUCGGAAAAAGGGCUUUGAGGAAGUGGCACUCUCUCGGGAGUGUGUUAUAGACUCGGGUCUUGAAUACGAUGGUUGGGACUGAGGAACUCAGCACGGCCCUUUGGGUAUCGGGGCUUCGGCCCACGUUCGCGUGCUUAGGAUGCUGGCAUAAUGGCCUUAAGCGACCCGUCUUGAAACACGG